AAGGAUCAUUACCAAAUCCAAAAAAAAAAACUUCAACCCCAAUAAUGUGCAUGUGGUAGGAAAAAAAAAAUGGAGAGGAGAAAAGGAAAAAAAAAUUCUCUUUUUUAUUAUUUUUUGAUUCUCUAUUUUUUUCUUCUUUUUUUUCCCAACAUUUUUAACCCCUUUUUUAAACCACAAAUCUUUAUUUUCAACAAAAAAAAACAAUAAAAAAUUUGAGAGACAACUUUUAACGGUGGAUCUCUUGGCUCGU
rnacentral:misc_RNA from 1 species